AAGUCGAACGAUGAAGCCUUUCGGGGUGGAUUAGUGGCGAACGGGUGAGUAACACGUGGGCAAUCUGCCCUUCACUCUGGGACAAGCCCUGGAAACGGGGUCUAAUACCGGAUAACACUCUGUCCCGCAUGGGCGGGGUUAAAAGCUCCGGCGGUGAAGGAUGAGCCCGCGGCCUAUCAGCUUGUUGGUGGGGUGAUGGCCUACCAAGGCGACGACGGGUAGCCGGCCUGAGAGGGCGACCGGCCACACUGGGACUGAGACACGGCCCAGACUCCUACGGGAGGCAGCAGUGGGGAAUAUUGCACAAUGGGCGAAAGCUGAUGCAGCGACGCCGCGUGAGGGAUGACGGCCUUCGGGUUGUAAACCUCUUUCAGCAGGGAAGAAGCGAAAAGUGACGGGUACCUGCAGAAGAAGCGCCGGCUAACUACGUGCCAGCAGCCGCGGUAAUACGUAGGGCGCAAGGUUGUCCGGAAUUAUUGGGCGUAAAGAGCUCGUAGGCGGCUUGUCACGUCGGAUGUGAAAGCCCGGGGCUUAACCCCGGGGUCUGCAUUCGAUACGGGCUAGCUAGAGUGUGGUAGGGGAGAUCGGAAUUCCUGGUGUAGCGGUGAAAUGCGCAGAUAUCAGGAGGAACACCGGUGGCGGAGGCGGGAUCUCUGGG
rnacentral:rRNA from 1 species